rnacentral:rRNA from 1 species
GACGAACGCUGGCGGCGUGCUUAACACAUGCAAGUCGAACGAAGAGCGACGGAAGCUUGCUUCUAUCAAUCUUAGUGGCGAACGGGUGAGUAACGCGUAAUCAACCUGCCCUUCAGAGGGGGACAACAGUUGGAAACGACUGCUAAUACCGCAUACGAUCUAAUCUCGGCAUCGAGGAUGGAUGAAAGGUGGCCUCUACAUGUAAGCUAUCACUGAAGGAGGGGAUUGCGUCUGAUUAGCUAGUUGGGGGGGUAACGGCCCACCAAGGCGAUGAUCAGUAGCCGGUCUGAGAGGAUGAACGGCCACAUUGGGACUGAGGCGCGGCCCAGACUGCUACGGGAGGCAGCAGUGGGGAAUCUUCCGCAAUGGACGAAAGUCUGACGGAGCAACGCCGCGUGAGUGAUGACGGCCUUCGGGUUGGAAAGCUCUGUUAAUCGGGACGAAAGGCCUUCUUGCGAAUAGUGAGAAGGAUUGACGGUACCGGAAUAGAAAGCCACGGCUAACUACGUG